CUUGUACUCUUCUUCUGUUGCUGC
rnacentral:siRNA from 1 species